UAGUAGUUUAAAAUCUAGCAUAUUUCCUUCUCUCUCUCUCUCUCUCUCUCUCUCUCUCUCUCUCUCUCUAUAUAUAUAUAUAUAUAUAUAUAUAUAUAUAUAUAGAGAGAGAGAGAGAGAGAGAGAGAGAGAGAGCNCAAGAAAAAGUGUUGGUGGUUGGUCUG
rnacentral:miRNA from 1 species